CAUACCCAGCUCCCUAAGACAGAGCCAGAAGAUAAGAGUCCUAGGUUGGAAGGCACUCACCAAGCUACUGGAGUAGAGCAGAGGACAACUGCGAGUAGUGCUGCAGCUAAUGAUGCAACUGGACUCAAGCCGAAAGGACAUUCAGCUGUUGACUUGCUCAGAGAUUCUGAGUCCACUACACCAUUACUCUUCAGCUUGAUGGAGUGGCUGCCAUGAAGUGAUCCCUGAGGAAAGACCUAAUGAAGUUCAUCUCUCAGCAGAGCUCAUCACAGAAGAUGAACUGAUGAACUCAGCUUUGCCUGUUCGGUUCAGGGAAGCCUAAGUGAGCAUUAGCUACAUGAUAGUAACCCCGAGUGAAAGGACAAGUGCUAUGUGUUUAUUAUUAGCUCCUACUGUGCAAGUUCAAGAGCCAUGGUACUUUCCAGGGUUCAGCAUUUCACUCGUCUUCAAGCCACUUUCCCUCAAAAGGCUGCAGUGCACAUUCAUCCCAUGCCCUUGCAAACUGUUAUUUUUAAAAAUGCUCAUGGAGUCAUUUGCUUGAGUACUGACUGACAAGCUUGCGAUCAGGUUUCACUUCUGUGCAAUUUGAAACAUUCAGCAGAUAAACACUGGAGAAAUGCUGUCACUUGGAACAGAAGGACUGAUCAAACUUCAGUCAUCUCUUAUGACAUUACAGACACACAGCCAAUAUAUCAUACCACAAAACCUGGUUUUGCAAUGAGUUUCUACCAUUUCUGUACUGAAACAUUAACUAGUAAAUUAGUAUCUGUCUGGCUUAAGUCCCUGAAGAAAAUUUUCAGAACGUUACAUCCCUGCUCUGAUUUGGACUGGAGCUGCAGAGGGAUGGAGACAAGUAAAUGGGACUUCCUUCUUCUGCCUAAUGCACUGCUGGUCUACUUACUGUAGACAUAUAGAGAAUACAUAUCCAUUGUGAUAAACUUGAUAACCUGUGUUUGAUCCCACAGUGAUAUUUCCUCACAGAUGUCUGUCUGAGGAAUCAGA